GUACGUGCGUGUGUUUGCAAACGACCGUACCGCCUUCGGGAAGAUCAGGUUGAAAAUAGGUUAGGAAUACUUUGCGGUAACGGUAAAUUUGAUGAGCACGUUAAGAGCGGUUACAAAACCGGCAUUAAAAGUUUGUUUUCUUGCACAACGCAAGACUUCCAAUUUAGUAUAACUAAUUUGACUCAAAGAAUGUUCAAUGGAUUUAAUUUUUGUUUAUUCUCAUUUUGAUCAUCGUUAUCCGAUAAUAUCUGACAGGUACACACGGACGAUGUCUUGAUGCUCGUAAAAAAUCUUGCAGUUCGACGGCAAUCCCUUCGGCCGGUACUCUCACCUGUCCGGCACCACCAAUGAGCAUUUUGAUGCUUAUUAACCUACAUUUCGUGGUACGAGUGCCCCCGCCGCAGACAGUUCCUGUCGAGAGGGGUUAACCCAGGUGCCAGGGGCGGAGAAAUCACUAUAGGAAAAUCCCAGCAAUAGUCUGGAACGUUAUCCACAAAGCUGACCAUUGCUCUUAACGGGCCAUCGGCUCUGACAUUGUGUGGGUCGGAGGGGUUGUUUUCGUGCUCUCCUUCGUUUCGGCUCGCGUUCGAGAAGGAUGAGUAAGAGACAUGAUUUGCAAGAAUGGCCGCUCCGAAAGUGGGUCAGACAGGCGCGAGAACUGUUAUCUUCCGAGUAUUCCUCGUCUCUUCGUACGGGGGUUCGCACUUCCUCGUUUGUGGUUGCAAAGCGAUAUUUGUGCUAUUUGUUUUGUAUUACCGGAGAAAUCAUCUGAAGAUUUUCAAAUGGGCCUCUUCCAAACAACACAAUCAAAUGUAAACAUUGGAAUCAUAUCCAGGGAUGCUAGAUGACUGUUUUGAACAUAUUAAUACGGCACGAAAAGUCUCUCAACAUCAUAUUGAACGAAAAUGAAUAAUUCAAAUGUGCAUUUUUGAUAAACCAAUGUUUUUUAUCUACUGAUUCACAUUUUACAAUGAUGCGUUUCAUUCGUCGUACCUAAUGGUUUCGAAGUUUAUUGCUAUGAAUGUGAAAAAAUAGACUACUUUAUAGUAUAACUGUAAAUGGAAAUACAAGCAUAUAGAUUUGAAACUUUUCUUGAUAAGGUGAAUUAGGUGAACAAAAAUUGGUUUUAAUAGAUCCAUAAUAACAAAACGUCUGAGUGAUGAAACCAUAUGCUGGUAGAAAAACUAUCAAUGAAACCAAAAGAUAUAUGAAUCAAAUUCCUUUUUGUUAUGAUUUUAGUAUUUUGGCACUGAGAAAAGAGUAUCCAUUGAUCAAUUUUAAAAAUGUUUGUUGUUUUUCUCAAAAUAAAAACAUGUCGUCACAUCUGACAUCACUGAUCAUACCGAGAAAAAGUGAAAGAAGUCUUUCCAGUCUACCAAAUAAAACAUUUCAAUGAAAUUCGUGUACUGGAAUAGGAUAUUUUGCUCGUCUCGACAAUGACUGAAGCCGAGACGAGAUGAGACGAAUUGCUCGUCUCGUUUUCUGGAAUAGGGCCCUUUGAUCGUAGUUGACUUUAAGUAAUCCACUCUUUAGUUCAUUUCUUCUAUUUUUUUAUCGUGAAUUUUUCAGGCUCAAUUCAAUUGUGUUACUUUCCGACAUAAGAGUACAUUUUUUCUUUCUUUAUUGUAGAGAUUUUCAGCCGUAGGUUGGUUCGUCUCCAACUAUAUGUCCCUGAAAUCUCUUUGCAUGUUUUCAGGGCAUCAUAUGUUCCUACAAAAUACAGUAAUCAAGGAAUACAUUGAGAUUUGUGGAAUUUUGUAACCGUCAAACAAACACACUUCCAUAGUUGCAUCCUAACUGUGAGGCAAAUUAUUUUCGUCCUUAUUUAGAACCUUUUCAAUUCAACACAUCAUCAUCCUAGCUCAACCAGAUAAGGUAAAGAUGUGAGAAUUUUAUUAUUCCGAAAUAAUCUACAAAACAGACCAAACUUAUUGAAAAAAAAGAGUUCACUUGAAAAGACUGCGUCUGGCCCGACUUCCGAGACGAAAAUAAUAAAGACAAAAUAACCUCGACCCGAGUACUAUCAACAUUUUCGCUUAAACUUGGGCAAGGAAAAUAUGUCUAAAUAAACAGAAUUUACCUUGUCCGGUGCGCACUGAUGCGAUGAUGGUGGUGCUUCAGCACUUUUCUAUUUUGUUUUUAAUUUUCAAGGGAAAAACACACGAGGAAUCAAGUCGCUGAUGACGAACCGGGCGGCUGACUAGACAGUUUUGCUUUUACCAUAUGACAAAAAGAGGCUCGCGUGAAACGUAAACAUCCACGCACACAACGAUGUCCCCAGUGCGGAUGUUUACAAUCUAAUUCACACACACACCCAGACAGAUUCGGUUGACAGCUGUGAGCUGCACACGGUAUGAUCCGUAUGAUCGAAUACGUGGUAAUCGAUUUAGUCCGGUGUUGUAUUUAGUCUGGAAACGAACCAUUCGAUGCUCUCAAUCAAACUCAAAUUUCAACAUUUGAUAAACGAAAAAUCGUGAGACUCAAUUGAAUUUGAUCGUUCUGCUCCAUAGAUGUAAGCGUUGUUUGCUUAGACUAUCAUUCUGCUUCCGUUCUUCGCUUAACCGACGAUAGCCAUUAACGCUUGAUAAGGCGUUUUUCGUUAAUCGCUAUGAGCUUGCCCGACUAUUCCGCGGAUAAUCGAGGUUCUACUGUAGAACACUUACAGUGCGGAACAAACCCAAGCGUUUCGAUCAGUCACGUAUCGAGUCAUUUGACUACUCUGCUGACCGUCUGCACGCCCUACGAUAUGCAAACGGGAGACAGGCUCGAUGUAUCGAUUUUAACCAAAUUGACGAAUCUACGUUCAAUUUACAACCAGGUGGCGCAGCAAGUGAAAUGAUGAUUUUGAUUUGAAUUUCUCUUGAAUUUUUUAGAAAAAUCCUAAUUUUUCUUCAAAUUUCCCGGUUUUAAGUAUUCUUUUUGCGCAAAGACAUCAUUUUACAUUGUUUGAUUUAUAACACAUGAAGA